UGUAGUAGUCCCGUAGACUGUUUUAGUGUCUACCAUAGAGUAUAUAGGAUAUUUUUAACACAGUUGCUUGAAAUUCAAAUUAGUUUGUAUUUCGUGCCUUGAUCUGUGCAGUGCACACAAGUGACAUUAGUGGCAACUGACAAGUCUACAAUAUUCAUAUUUCAUUUUGUGAUUUGUUAUUAACGUUGUUAGGCUGUAGGCAGUUGUUUUUAAAAUUGAUUACGCUACAGAAAUAAAAUGGCGUGUACCGAACCAUUGAAAACUAUAUCAAGUGAGCUGCUUGUGUUUGAAGAGAAACCUAAAAUAAUAGAGGGUAGAAAAAUUCAUGAUUGGUUCAAAGUUGGAGAAAAUGUGUUUGAAUAUUUUUUUAAAUUGGGCACACAGAUUUCUUGGGAUUUCUCAAAAGUAAAAAACGAACCUGAAUGUACCAAGAUAAUUGAACUUGUUACAAAGAAUAUAAAAUGGAUUGAAAGUUUCAUAACUCUUUACCCCAACUUCAGGAUAGAUUGUGAUAUGGUUGGAUCUGCUGGAGAUGUCUGCAAGACCCGUUCAGGGCUGGAAGUUUUGCUUAAUGGUUUUAAGGGUUUGGAUCCUCAGUUUGAUACAAUAUUAGAAAAUUUGGCAGAAGCUGCAGAUAUAGAGGACUUUGAUCGUGUAUUAAAAGUGUGGAUUGAUUCAGGUCAUCGCCCUGAUAUUUCACCUAAAGAUAUAUUUUCAAAUACCCCUCAGUCACACUGGUGGUGGUUUUAACUUUUUACAGAAAUAAUAAAGAAGGCAAUAUGUAUUGUGUGUAGUAUAAAUACACAUAGCCUUUUUAUAGAAGACUAUAUAAAUUUUAAAUAACUAUUUUUAUUGGUACAUAUAAAAUUACUAUUUAAUAAUAAAUUAUAUUAAUUUCAA